rnacentral:misc_RNA from 1 species
AAUUUAUAUUUUUUUUCCCCAAAAGAAGUCUUCAGUCCCCCUAAUAAUGUGAAAUUUUAUAAAAUUGAAUUAACAAAUUCUAUUUGUUGUGCAUCGCAACAUUAGUAAAAUUAAUGAUAUUAGAGUAUUUGUCCUUGGAGUACUAACGGAGUAAUGCUUAUGGUAUUAUUUUGUCAAAAAUUCAACCGCAUGCUUCUAAGUAUCAAAGAGCGAAACCUUA